UUGACCUCGAAUCAGGUAGGAAUACCCGCUGAACUUAAGCAUAUCAAUAAGCGGAGGAAAAGAAACCAACAGGGAUUGCCCCAGUAACGGCGAGUGAAGCGGCAACAGCUCAAAUUUGAAAUCUGGCUCUCGGGCCCGAGUUGUAAUUUGUAGAGGAUGCUUUUGGUGAGGUGCCUUCCGAGUUCCCUGGAACGGGACGCCAUAGAGGGUGAGAGCCCCGUCUGGUUGGACGCCGAACCUCUGUAAAGCUCCUUCGACGAGUCGAGUAGUUUGGGAAUGCUGCUCUAAAUGGGAGGUAUAUGUCUUCUAAAGCUAAAUACCGGCCAGAGACCGAUAGCGCACAAGUAGAGUGAUCGAAAGAUGAAAAGAACUUUGAAAAGAGAGUUAAACAGUACGUGAAAUUGUUGAAAGGGAAGCGCUUGUGACCAGACUUGGGCUUGGUUGAUCAUCCGGGGUUCUCCCCGGUGCACUCUUCCGGCCUAGGCCAGCAUCAGUUCGCCCUGGGGGAUAAAGGCUUCGGGAACGUGGCUCUCUCCGGGGAGUGUUA
rnacentral:rRNA from 2 species